rnacentral:rRNA from 1 species
UACGGAGGGUGCAAGCGUUACUCGGAAUCACUGGGCGUAAAGAGCGCGUAGGCGGGAUAGCAAGUCAGCGGUCAAAGCCCGGGGCUCAACCCCGGCCCGCCGUUGAAACUGGCAGUCUCGAGUUGGAGAGAAGUAUGCGGAAUGCGCGGUGUAGCGGUGAAAUGCAUAGAUAUCGCGCAGAACUCCGAUUGCGAAGGCAGCAUGCCGGCUCCACACUGACGCUGAGGCACGAAAGCGUGGGUAUCGAACAGG